rnacentral:rRNA from 1 species
GAUAUGAGGGAUUUGGUUGUAGCUGGCUCAUUAAUUUGGGCAUGUGCACACCUUCUCUCUUUCAUCCAACACACACCUGUGCACCUGUGAGGCAGAUGGGGAAUUUAUUGAUUGUUUUUUAAGAACAAUUGGUGUUGGACCCUCUGUCUACUCAAUAUAUAAACUCAAUUUAUUUAGAAAUGAAUGUAAUGGAUGUAACACAUCUAAUACUAAGUUUCAACAACGGAUCUCUUGGCUCUCGCAUCGAUGAAGAACGCAGCGAAAUGCGAUAAGUAAUGUGAACUGCAGAAUUCAGUGAAUCAUCGAAUCUUUGAACGCACCUUGCGCUCCUUGGUAUUCCUUGGAGCAUGCCUGUUUGAGUAUCAUGAAAUCUUCAAAGUAAAAUCUUUUGUUAAUUCAAUUGGUUUUGCCUUGGUCUUGGAGGUCUUUGCAGCUUCACACCUGCUCCUCUUUGUGUAUUAGCUGGAUCUCAGUGUUAUGCUUGGUUCCACUCGGCGUGAUAAGUUAUCUAUCGCUGAGGACACUGUAAUAGGUGGCCAAGGGAAAUGCAGAUGAACCGCUUCUAAUAGUCCAUUGACUUGGACACUAUUUUUUAUGAUCUGAUCUCAAAUCAGGUAGGACUACCCGCUGAACUUAAGCAU